rnacentral:rRNA from 1 species
AUUGAACGCUGGCGGCAUGCUUUACACAUGCAAGUCGAACGGCAGCGCGGGCUUCGGCCUGGCGGCGAGUGGCGAACGGGUGAGUAAUGCAUCGGAACGUGCCCAGUAGUGGGGGAUAGCCCGGCGAAAGCCGGAUUAAUACCGCCUACGACCUGCGGGUGCAAGCGGGGGGCCGAAAGGCUCGGCGGGUGGGGAGGGACCGACGGCGGAGCAGCCAGUUGGUGGGGUAGAGGCUUACCAAGGCGACGAUCGGUAGCCGGCCUGCGAGGGCGACCGGCCACAGUGGGACUGAGAGACGGCCCAGACUCCUACGGGAGGCAGCAGUGGGGGAUAGUGCACAAUGGGCGGAAGCCUGAUGCAGCAACGCCGCGUGCGGGAUGACGGCCUUCGGGUUGUAAACCGCUUUCGCCUGUGACGAAGCGUGAGUGACGGUAAUGGGUAAAGAAGCACCGGCUAACUACGUG